GACGAACCGUGCGAACGUUAUUCGGAAUCACUGGGCUUAAAGGGCGCGUAGGCGGGCCGCCAAGUCAGAGGUGAAAGCCCCCAGCUCAACUGGGGAAGUGCCUUUGAUACUGGCGGUCUCGAGGGAGAUAGGGGCGUGCGGAACUUCCGGUGGAGCGGUGAAAUGCGUAGAUAUCGGAAGGAACACCGGUGGCGAAGGCAGCUCGCUGGGACGGUACUGACGCUGAGGCGCGAAAGCGUGGGGAGCAAACAGG
rnacentral:rRNA from 1 species